CCUACGGGUGGCAGCAGUGGGGAAUAUUGGGCAAUGGGCGCAAGCCUGACCCAGCAACGCCGCGUGAAGGAAGAAGGCUUUCGGGUUGUAAACUUCUUUUAUUGAGGACGAAACAAAUGACGGUCCUCAAUGACUAAGCCACGGCUAACUACGUGCCAGCAGCCGCGGUAAUACGUAGGUGGCAAGCGUUAUCCGGAUUUACUGGGUGUAAAGGGCGUGUAGGCGGGACUGCAAGUCAGAUGUGAAAACCAUGGGCUCAACCCAGGGCCUGCAUUUGAAACUGUAGUUCUUGAGUGAUGGAGAGGCAGGCGGAAUUCCGUGUGUAGCGGUGAAAUGCGUAGAGAUACGGAGGAACACCAGUGGCGAAGGCGGCCUGCUGGACAGUAAAUGACGCUGAGGCGCGAAAGCGUGGGGAGCAAACAGGAUUAGAUACCCGUGUAGUC
rnacentral:rRNA from 1 species